AUCAAUAAGCGGAGGAAAAGAAACCAACAGGGAUUGCCCUAGUAACGGCGAGUGAAGCGGCAACAGCUCAAAUUUGAAAUCUGGCGUCUUCGGCGUCCGAGUUGUAAUUUGCAGAGGGCGCUUUGGCAUUGGCAGCGGUCCAAGUUCCUUGGAACAGGACGUCACAGAGGGUGAGAAUCCCGUACGUGGUCGCUAGCCUUUACCGUGUAAAGCCCCUUCGACGAGUCGAGUUGUUUGGGAAUGCAGCUCUAAAUGGGAGGUAAAUUUCUUCUAAAGCUAAAUACUGGCCAGAGACCGAUAGCGCACAAGUAGAGUGAUCGAAAGAUGAAAAGCACUUUGGAAAGAGAGUUAAAAAGCACGUGAAAUUGUUGAAAGGGAAGCGCUUGCAGCCAGACUUGCCUGUAGUUGCUCAUCCGGGUUUUUACCCGGUGCACUCUUCUAUAGGCAGGCCAGCAUCAGUUUGGGCGGUUGGAUAAAGGUCUCUGUCAUGUACCUCUCUUCGGGGAGAACUUAUAGGGGAGACGACAUGCAACCAGCCUGGACUGAGGUCCGCGCAUCUGCUAGGAUGCUGGCGUAAUGGCUGUAAGCGGCCCGUCUUGAAACACGGACCAAGGAGUCUAACAUCUAUGCGAGUGUUUGGGUGUCAAGCCCGAGCGCGUAAUGAAAGUGAACGGAGGUGGGAACCUUUCGGGGUGCACCAUCGACCGAUCCUGAUGUCUUCGGAUGGAUUUGAGUAAGAGCAUAGCUGUUGGGACCCGAAAGAUGGUGAACUAUGCUUGAAUAGGGUGAAGCCAGAGGAAACUCUGGUGGAGGCUCGCAGCGGUUCUGACGUGCAAAUCGAUCGUCAAAUUUGGGCAUAGGGGCGAAAGACUAAUCGAACUAUCUAGUAGCUGGG
rnacentral:sRNA from 1 species